GAUGAACGCUAGCGGCAGGCUUAAUACAUGCAAGUCGAACGGGAUUCAGGGUAGCAAUACUUUGAUGAGAGUGGCGCACGGGUGCGUAACGCGUAUGCAAUCUACCUUUAACAGGGGAAUAGCCCCGAGAAAUCGGGAUUAAUACUCCGUAACAUUGCGGGAUGGCAUCAUUCUGCAAUUAAAGAUUUAUCGGUUAAAGAUGGGCAUGCGUGACAUUAGCUUGUUGGUGAGGUAACGGCUCACCAAGGCAACGAUGUCUAGGGGUCCUGAGAGGGUUAUCCCCCANACUGGUACUGAGACACGGACCAGACUCCUACGGGAGGCAGCAGUAAGGAAUAUUGGUCAAUGGGCGCAAGCCUGAACCAGCCAUGCCGCGUGCAGGAAGACGGCCCUAUGGGUUGUAAACUGCUUUUGUCGGGGAAUAAACCUGUCUACGUGUAGACAGCUGAAGGUACCUGAAGAAUAAGCAUCGGCUAACUCCGUGCCAGCAG
rnacentral:rRNA from 1 species